UAAACACUUCCGCCGGGAAGUAAACAAAUAUAACUCAUUAGGCCUUUGAAGAGAUAUACAAUUGCUCUUUUCUUUU
rnacentral:ncRNA from 1 species